CUUCAACAUGGUCCCCCAACAUCCUGAUCUCAACGUGGAGAGCCGUGGGUUUGGAGGGUGGGCUACUUGGAGGAUGAGCAUUUGGAUGCAGGGAUGCAGCCAGGGAGUUGUGGCCAGUGGUUCCUUGUCCAGGGGGAGGUCGAGAGGUGUCCCUCAGGGCUCAGCCUUGGGACCAGGGCUCUGGAAUGUCUUUACCAGUGACACAGACAGUGGGAUCGAGUUCAGACUCAGCACGAUGGCAGGUGACAGGAGGCUGAGCAGGGCAGGUGAAAUAAUAAAGGAUGGAGCCAUGCAGAGGGACCUGAGCAAGUUUGAGAAGUGGGACCAUGAGAACCUCAUGAGGUUCAGUAAGGCCAAGUGAAUGGUGCUGCACCUGGGUUGGGCAAUUCCAGAAACACUGAAUCCCAGAAUCAUUAAGGUUGGAGGACACUUUCAAGAUCAUUCAGUCCCACUGUCAACCCAGCACAUAAAGCACCCCUAAACCAUAUCCCCAAAUGCCACAUCCACACGCCUUGUGAACGUUUUAACAGUGAGUCACUGUGUCUUUAACAGGGAUUUUGUUUUGAGCACCUGUAGAUUUUUGCACAUGUUCAAGAUCUGAAAAGCAAUGUCCACCAAUGUUCUGCACAGCUCUUAUCUGAAGCUCAACAUAACUUGGACCAGUGCAGUGCCAGUAAGAUCCCACCAUGCCAGGAAGGUUUCCCAGUUCCAGUCAGAGGAAUGUCUGGGCCCUUAUCUAUGCUGUAAAAAAAUGCCUGAGCUUUACUGAAACAAGUCUUUCAAGUCCUCUCAUGGCAGACUGUUUUAUGCAAUACUCCAUUAAAUGUUUUUCAGAUGAGGGUUGUUUCUACAUCCCGUUUUUUCUGAGGUCAGUGCACUUCCAGUAUGAAAAGCCUGUUCCAACUGCCUGCCUGCCCCUUUGAGGCUGGUAGAGCCAGGCUGCCUCCCCAAGAGGGUAUCUGUCCAUCUCUAGAAAAUGUGGAAGAUUUUUUGUAGUCAGCUCUUUGUCUUCCAUCUCUCAAACCAUCCUACAGGAGCCCUAUUCCCUAAUUUCACCCUUGUUAUGUUGCUUUGAGAUCAGAUGGUCUGGGACAAAGCCAAGCAGGGGACACAUUUGAUGCAGGAAGUGUCAGAGUCAGCAGGGCUCUUCCCUGAUAAAAAUGUUACUUUUAGUUCAGCUGCCCAGGACAAAGUCAGUCCCUUGAGCAGGUCCUAAGGGAGCAGUUCAUAGAGACUGAAGGAAUAGGAACAACCACCGGCUGAGAUCUGAGCCAGGUCUUGAGGGAUCUUUCCCUGUUCAGGUCAGCAGCAGCAGAGUGAGUUAUUCCUUAGAAAGGGUGUUCCCAGUCCAGUCAUGACACUUUUUCAACAAAGCUCUGUGUGUUUAAAGAUCCCUGUAUAGGUUCGACUCCCACACACUUCAUUGCUAUAUUCAGCUCUCAUUAUGGCUGUGAGGUUUAUUCUGGAUGGGCUCUCCAUUCCCACCCCCUAAGAGAGCAACAGAUUCCCCCUUCCAAAGCUUCAUUUUUUUGCUGCAUAUCAGGAUUAUUCUUUACUGCAGAUGCAGAGAUUUUUUUCCUUCAAGAUCCUGAAAACCUUCCUUUUUCUUUUUUGGAGUGGUAUCCUUCAGUGAGUCUGUCACUGCAACCAUGGAAGGCAGCACAGCAUGAGAUGGACCAUCUGUAAAUGCCCAUGGGGGAAAAGAGGAAUUUACCUGCCUCUUUGUCCUGAGGAACUGGGCUGUGAUACAAGACAAUUGCUUUGAAAAACAUGAGGCUGCACUUGUGAGUUCCCUUCAGGAGAGCUGGGACAGUGACUCAGUGCACCUGAGCAGCUGAAGCCUGUGUUUUGCCAUGAAUGCUGAACAGUCAUCAGGAGCUACAGGCAGGACUCACAGUGCUGUAGGUGACCACAUUGCUUAAAUAAGCAGAAGAAUAAUAAGAACAAGGAGUCAGGAUGAGGUACAUUGAUCUCAGGCUUGGCUGUGGGUCUCUACACAUUGAAUAGCACCUGUGAGAAGAAUUACAGAAGAUCUCUUAAUUAAGGUUCAUAAUGUACCUGACCUUUCCCAGGCAUUUUAGUAACUUCUUAAGACAGCCCUGAGUGAAUGUCAGACUGGCACAUGGUAUUGACAUCCCUGAAGAAUAUGGAAAAGCAAGCCCAAGGAUGAAUGAGAAUGCCAGCUCCACACUUGUCUUUAGACAGAACAUAGAUCUUAAUUUCUGGAAAUACUUCUCAAGCCUCACGGGCUUUAUAGUCUGUGUCUCAGCUCAGAGUUUUAUUAAAAGUACUGGCAAAGGUUUCACACAAGUACAGUGAGUGCUCUGUCUGCACCAGGAAGGAAAACCAGCUCCUUCCUGAUUUAUAGCCCUGGAUAGCCUGUCUAUUUACUUUUUCCAGGCAAGGUUUCAGUAGGACUCAUGAGAUACUUGGCAGAGUUCUUUUAUGCUCACCGGUGGGAGGAAUGGGUUAAAAAGUGGAAGGCUGGAGGAGGAUUGUGAAUUGCUCAAGUGACCUUGGAGCUGGGAAUAACCCUUGAUAAGCCUGAGUAAACGGCAGGCCAGGGAUCCUCUGGCAUGGACUGAGUUUAACAGUGCCUGUGUCUCCACUUGUGUGCCUCUGCCCAGGUGUUGCUUCAGGGAUCCCCUAGAUAGUGAGGCAAUGGAAAUAAAUUUAUUCUUUGCGUUACAGUCGUGAAUUGGUGUUUUUUUCUGGCUGCCUGCCUGCCUGUGCUGACUCACACACUCACUGUUGAGCUGACAUAAGCCUGCAUAGACCACACGAGGGUAGGGAAAAGCUCUUGAUGUCAGGCUUAAAGUCUGCCUGACUCUAAGCUCUCCCAUAGCACUUCUGUUGGCUAAACUAGGCUUUUUACAGAUCUGCCAUGCCUACCCACCAGCCUUUGAACCCAAGACAGAAUAUAUCUGAAUACCCCUUGGUGGAAACUUCUAUUAUAGGUCUAUUUUUCUUAAUGACAAAUAUUCCUAGGACAGAGGGGGGGGGAAAUCCCAUCAAAACCUGUGACUUUUGCUGGGUUGAUUAACAGCAGUUGGUGCCAUUACUAUACAUUGUGCCCCUUUAACUUCUUUCAGCAUAUAUUUUAUAGUUCAGUCAAAACACACUCCUGACUCAGAACUUGUGGGUGGCAGCCAGUCCCCGUGGGUGGCUCAGCCAGCAGGGUUUGUGUGUUCCCUGCAAAAGCCAGAAGGGAAAAUCAAGUUUCUGACCCACAACCCCACUAGACAAUAGCCUCGGCAGAAAGUAAUUUGCAACUGCUCUGCUCCUAAUGGGACAGAAAUACUGGCCUGAGAACAGCAUGUGCUGUGAGGACCUGUAGUGUUUAACAUAUAACCAACAGUACAUUUCAAGCACUCUCUGGAACAAUGUUCCUUCCAGUGGCUUCAGUGGAUACCCACAUUUAUGAGGCAGCUCCUGACGUGGAAAGCCUGGAGAGUUUAACCUCUAGAAAGCCUCGGUGUUCUUGUGGACACUUGAGUAGAAAACAGACAGAGAACCUAAAAGGCGCCAGAAACAAAGAAGGGUGCCUCAACUUUCUUUUUUGUCACCACAGACCUAUGUCUUGCCCAGUGGCUCUGCUGCUCUGAAGCCCUGCAGUUUCAUGCUAUGCAACCAGUUUUCUCUGAAAGUAACCAAGACUCUUCUUCUUUGUGUAUCACAGCAACCUUUUUUCUGAAAGCCGCAGUGAAAGAUUACCUCCUUGCAGGUCUUAAACCAACCGGUGUCCAAGCACACAUCUAAGCUCCUGCUGUUAAGGAAGACUCAAUCGUUCAGUCAUCUCUGAGAGAGGCGCAGUUUUUCUCCUUACCCUUCUCUUAUAUUCACUUUCCUUUUAUUCAGGUGAUGGGAGAGCAAUCAAGACAUCUCUCAGUUUCAAGAGCACUCUAAAAAAGAUGCCAGUGUUAUGGAUAUUACCCCAUAACAGGGGUGACAGACCACCUACCUUUUACCUUGUGAUUUUAGCUUUGGGUGUGUUAUGAGCACAACAGCACCUGCAAAAACGGACACCCAGUUUCAGGGGUGUUUCACAGGACCGCUCACCUUCUGCACCGGGUCACUGGAUGCCUGCAGGACAGCAGGAUAUGGAAAUUUCCUAGCUGAAAACAGAGAACUGCUGCUCCUGCAAGGGAGAGACUAUUUUAGGGGUUUAGAUCUGACCUUUGCAGAGCCUUCCUCUCUGAAUCACCUGGUGAUCUGUUGAUCACAUAGUAACAUCACACUGUUACUAUGUACUUGCACCAUUAACCUGCCCCUGUUUUAGCUUAUACUGCAUUUCACAGCAGCAUAGUCCAUAUGGGGCAUCCAUGAAGGGAUGGGUUACAUCUUUCACUUAUUUACCUCUGGACAGCCUACACCUGCAGUUAUCAGGAUAUUCUGCUCGCACCGAUGGACAGAUACAAUCCCAACUUACUGGGCUUGUUCCACAAGCCUUUCCUGGCUGUAAAGGCUGAUUUGGGUGCUUCUGUCCUCCAGGGAGACUUGGCAUUGCCCCUCUCUCACAAGACGAGCAGGCUAACCUUGGCCAGAUGAAAUGAUUUCUGCAGGCCUACUCCCCUCCUCCAGAAGGGAACAUCUGAAGAAGCUGCUAAAGGAUCGUUGCUGGUCCUUCUGGGAGGCUUUGAGGAUGCCGGUGACGUGCCCCGGGGCAGAAACACCGGCAUUUGGUUCCCCCGUUCACAUGCAAAUCCGUGGAAUCUCAUCACAGUCAAAACCUGCUGCUCUUGCCCCAUUCAGAGCCUGACAAACAGCCUGAGCUCCCAUCUAGGUAACAGCCAAGGCUGUAGCUUUUGUAGCCCCAUCACACAGUGAUACAGUUUUUGGAUUAGUGGAGCCUGGUUGCAUUCGAACUACAUAUGAUCGAGAUGUUUUGUGUGCACAGAAUGCAAGAGACCCAGUGGCCUCCUUUCAGUCCUUUUAUGAGUGACUGAGUGUCUGAAGGUCAAUCAGAUUGUGCCUAAUGAAAUGACUCAUUGGCAUCUGGGCUAAUUUGUCACCUUUAGCAUAUCUAAGACAAAAAUUCCAAGUGUUCUCAGACGGGGCUCAAAGGAGUCCUGAAGUACAGGCACUCUCCUGAAUUGUUAGCUCCAAAUCUGCCCUUCUGGGGCAUGUAAUGGGAUGCUAAAGGUCUGGCUAUUUUGUGGAUUCUUUGCCUUAGGGUCUUCUGAGAUUUCUCAACACUUAAAAGACAACUUCCUCUCUCAGUUUCAACUCUAGUCUCUGCAAGGAUACACGGAAAAUCACAUUUUCUGAGCAGAAUCCUACAGUUCUUAAAUUUUAAGUGUAGUCCAAUAUUAAAAGAUUGUGUAUUGACUAGGCUUUUCUGACAAAUCUGACUGGUGUAAUAACAUAUGAACAAAAGCAGCAUAAAUAGGAGGAUUAUUUUGUAUUUAUAAGUCAUAGAAAAAUAUAUUAAAAACCUCUGUGUGUUACCUGGUCACCCAAGUGCUGCCAACAUCUACAACAUGCCCUGUGGUGAGGUGUCCACCUUGGCUGCCCUGCUGCUUUUUGAGAGAUUAUUGGGGUAUCCCAACCACACCCUGGGAAUUAUUUUCCAGGGUCUGAACCUUCCUGCGUUUAUCAGCUGACUCUCCCAGCUUCUGCACUGGCAUUCUCUUGACAAGCCAGUCUCCCUUGGGAAUGAGCCUGGAGAGCUCAGGAAGGGGGCAGGACACACAAGCUCUUGCAUCACUUCUGAAGCAAUCUGAGUUUAUAACUCUCUCUCUCUCUCUCCCACUUCAGCACAGCCAGUGGAAGAAGAGGUUAACUCUCUGUUUUCAUACAAUAGGCACCUUGCAGCUGCUUUCAAAGGUGUGGAAAUCCUCUUUGUCGGGCUGGAGUAGUUCAGUAGAACUAAAUUCAUUGGAAAAAGGGCAGAGGAUUGUUUUCUCUUGAAGAUGCAACAGGAGGAGAGAACAUAAAACAAGGAAAUGUUCUUGCAAUAUUCCACGAGUUCCUGGGCACUGCAGUACCUGUAUCUCCUGGUGGAGUUCAACAUCCUUAGGGCAGUGAGACGGCCACAAAGCAGGCAGGAAAGUUGGAUUUCCAAGUACCUCAAAUAUUUACCAGUUCCUGCAGCUUUCAAAACUUUCAAAAUAUUUAUAACUUUCCAAAAUAAUAUGGUCUACCUACUGUGAUUUUUUUUAUAUGUUAUUAUUUCAGUUCUAGCAUUCCUGUGUCUCUGAUGAUGCUAAAGGUGGAAUAAAAACCCUGACUGCAGACACAACAUGUUCAUAAAAUUCACUAUCAGUUGACCAGUUUACCUGACUUCCAUCUAUGCUAUCCAUUCUGGUUCUUUCCUUCAAAACCUGCCCACAUAGACAGCAAGAUAAUCAAUAUUUUGCAAAGAAACUAUAUAAGACCCACUCCACCAAUUAGUAAUAGUGGUAUAAUGUUAAGAUCUAAAGCACAGGCUUUGUCAGCUUUGGAUAUUUAUGGAAAUGCUCAUUUCUUAAGGCCAUUUUCUACAGUGCCCAUGCAAUGUUGUGUGUUUUCCAUUGCACCUGUGCUUUGAGCAGUCUCAUACAAAGCAGCAGUGAAGAUGCAAACUCUCACUGGUAUUUGCUUUAUGAGGGUUGUUUCUGUUGUUACCACAGAAGUAUUUAAGAAAAUAGGUCCAUCCCCAGCAGAAACUCGUCUGGGCCAGCUUGUACUCCUUUCUCAGGACGGUUCAAAUUACCUUCUGAAAGUUCCUCACCAGGUGGUUGUCCAGGAGUCUGAUGACCUGUGUCAAACCAAUCCCAGAGAAAACAAACACUUCCAGCCAGCUUCUUCUAGCUUCAUAUGGAGCUUUGAUAUGUGUCAGUGUGGCUGGGAUUUGAUCACAAAGGAGUUAUAGAACCAGUAAGAAAAAAUCUGGUAACCGAGCAGUUACACUAACACAGGAAUUUGCUCUUCAAAAACUUCCUUGUUUAAUGCUGAAGGGUUGGCAAUUAGGUAAAGGUUGAAUUAAAGCAUCAGUCUCUCACCUCUUAAAACAGUCAUGCCAUUCUCAUUAUUGACCAGCAAGGAUCUGUUUUCUGGUACCACCUUCUCUAAAGAUAAGAAGUAUUUUGUCUUUGUUUUAUUUGUGCCUUCAAACACAACACUUAUUUACACAAACAGCAGGCCAACAAACACAGUUUUUUCUCAAGGAAUUAAUGCAGCCACUGAACCAGAAUAGAGUCAGAGCUAAAUUAAGAAUGAUGAAGAUAUAUUUUAGUCAUUAACGAGGAAAACUUAGCAAGUAGCAAGAGUGACAAAUGUGUGAUGUCCUACUACAAGUUAAUAAUUUUUACACCGAGAUGUGGAAGAGUGGUAACUGUGAUUCAGAAAUAAUUUCAGAAAUCAACAUUUGUCCUCCACUCAAAAAUAUAUUUGCAGCAAAAAUAGUGUUUCAUUGAGCCUCUUCAGUCAAAAUUAAAAAAAAAAAAAGUCAAGAAAAAUAACAUAUUGGAGUCAAACUGUAAAAUCUUGCCUUACUCACAAACAAAGUUAUCCUGUGAAACAUCAUGGACAACACAUCUGGCUGCUUCCAUGGAAAGCUUCCUGAAAACUGAUAUCUUGCAUUUGCAUAUGCAAUCAGUGCUUUUUCAUAAUCACAAUUAAAUCUUUUUUUUUCCUGAGUUCGCUGAUGGUUUGCUGAAGAAUAUAAACAGGUGAAAACAAACUGCAUUUCCCCUCCUUUAUAACACACCUGAUCCAGUGGUGGUUUUUUGUGACUCAUCGGGGAUUUACAGUUUUCUGACUCCAUCUGCACCGUUUAUCACAGGAUUAAAGCAAAGUCACAUUGUCGAUAAAAACCAAGUAUACCUAUACCUGAUGUAGGAACAGACCAUAAAAGGUCAUCUAGCUGCAGGUAAAUAUAAAGAGGACACUUUAUUAUUACCCUUUUAUAACAGGUUAACCAUCAAGUCUCCAAGCACUUUUACAAAUAUUUGGUUAAAUGUGAAAAUAGCUGUGAUCCUCCUGAUACUGCAUACCAUUAAUUCCCUUUCACAGGGCAGCAAACCAAUUUGCUGAAGUUAUAUAGUAAAUCUGGAGCUCAACUAGUAUGGAAAGUGAAAAAAACCCUUGUCUCUUUAUUAUUCAGACAAACAAAAGGCAAUUCUUUUCGAAUAGGAUUUAUCUCUGGUUAUCUCAUGCAGGUAUUCAGAAAAUUCAGCUGUUCAAAAGGCCUUGUUCAUUUUUUUUAACCUCUCUAGCAUAGAAUUAUUUCCAAAUAAAUGAAAAGCGGUGGUCUUCCUGGAGCUAUAGAAAAUAAGGAUUUUUUUUUUUAUAUAAGAUGGCAUGAGUAACAUUCAACAUUUUAAAAACAAAUUAUAAUUAAAUGAUCAUUUGAGAAGAUCUGGCUCUACUAAAUCAAUGUUAACUUUUCCCAAGAUUACAUUUGGAUCCAAAACAUAAUUUUUGGUUUCUAAUUGGAAAACAAAGCAAAAAAAAAUCUUAAUUUAAGAUUUAUUGUGGUUUCU